rnacentral:rRNA from 1 species
CCCUACGGGGGGCAGCAGUGAGGAAUAUUGGUCAAUGGGCGAGAGCCUGAACCAGCCAAGUCGCGUGAGGGAAGACGGUCCUAUGGAUUGUAAACCUCUUUUGCCGGGGAGCAAAAAGCGGUACGUGUACCGCAUCGAGAGUACCCGGAGAAAAAGCAUCGGCUAACUCCGUGCCAGCAGCCGCGGUAAUACGGAGGAUGCGAGCGUUAUCCGGAUUUAUUGGGUUUAAAGGGUGCGCAGGCGGGCCUUUAAGCCGGCGGUGAAAUCUCGGGGCUCAACCCCGCCGAGC